UGGGGAAUAUUGCACAAUGGGCGCAAGCCUGAUGCAGCCAUGCCGCGUGUGUGAAGAAGGCCUUCGGGUUGUAAAGCACUUUCAGCGAGGAGGAAGGUGGUGAGCUUAAUACGCUCAUCAAUUGACGUUACUCGCAGAAGAAGCACCGGCUAACUCCGUGCCAGCAGCCGCGGUAAUACGGAGGGUGCAAGCGUUAAUCGGAAUUACUGGGCGUAAAGCGCACGCAGGCGGUUUGUUAAGUCAGNUGUGAAAUCCCCGGGCUCAACCUGGGAACUGCAUUUGAAACUGGCAAGCUAGAGUCUCGUAGAGGGGGGCUAGAAUUCCAGGUGUAGCGGUGAAAUGCGUAGAGAUCUGGAGGAAUACCGGUGGCGAAGGCGGCCCCCUGGACGAAGACUGACGCUCAGGUGCGAAAGCGUGGGGCAGCAAACAGGAUUAGAUACCCUGGUAGUCCAGCGCUGUAAACGAUGUCGA
rnacentral:rRNA from 1 species